rnacentral:tRNA from 1 species
GGGCGAGUGGCGGAACGGCAGACGCAGCGGACUUAAAAUCCGCCGGGGACGACCCCGUGUGGGUUCGAAUCCCACCUCGCCCA